CUGCCCCAUCAUACUCUUUCUCUUUCUCUGUCUCUCUCCUGUUUCUUCUCUUUCUCUCUGGAAACUCCGUUAUUACCGUUUUGCUUUGUUGAAGAUUUUUUGAGGUUAUUCGCGUUCUCUUCUUUUGCAUGUUCGUUUCUCCGUCGAUCAGUGAAGUGUGAAACGACGCCGUUUCGUUGCUCUCGGCUCGAACUGAUGGAGUGGGUUUCUCUGUGAUCUCGAGGGGGAGUUCGGCGAUGUGUGAGCUAAUUCGGUGCCUGGUGUUUGAUUCUGGUUGCGGUUUUGCGCAUUUUUUUGCUCGAAUUAUAUGAAAUGUUUGAUUGGAACGACGAAGAGCUAGCUAACAUAAUAUGGGGUGAAGGAGGUGAGAGUGAUGAUCAUAUUGUGCCAUAUCCAGAGGUAAAUGAAGAUGUUAGCAACAUAAAAGAGUGGAAUCAAGAAGCUGCUGCGACUAAGCUCACCAAGCUGAAGAGGCCAGAGGCUAAAACUGAUUUUCAUGAAAGAAAGCUAGGAAGCAGUUCCAACCUUGAUAAUAGUGGAGAACUACUAACCUCAGGAUAUGGAACAAAUGCAUGGCCUGACUUGUCUUUAUCCACUUCAGCUAACAUUGAUCAGGGUUCCCUGGGUACUGAAGUAUCUAAAAAUUUAAGUGAACUUAGCAAAUUCAGUUCAUCAAGAGGUGAAGAAACUACACAACAUGAAAAGGAUGAUGAAAUUUUCCAAACUGCUCAUGAAGGUAAAGAGCAAGGUGAUUUUGUUGAUUAUGGAUGGGUCAACAUAGGAAGUUUUGAUGACCUUGAUCAAAUUUUUAGCAAUGAUGACCCUAUAUUUGGCCAUGCAAGUCUUGAUAAUUCUAAUGAGCUUUGGUCCUCUAAAGAUGUGAGUAAAAAUGUAGCACCUUUACCAUUGGACACACCAAGUUCAUCAGGUGCUUUAAGGAACAGAACUGAGCCUUUGGAAAUCAAAGAAGAAUAUGCUCAAUGUAGUGAUGAAUCAUUGGACCUCAACAAUGAGAAGAUUGGGGGUCCUGCAUCCCAGGUUAUAGAAAAUGCAUGCACAAUCACAGCUAAAGUGGGAAAUGAUGGAGUUAGAAGUAAGCCUCCAGGAAAGGAACAGCAGGUUAUUAGGCAAAAGAACCUUCUGAAAACUCGGAAAAAAUCACAGGUAAAACAAGAGGAGAAUACCUUGCAGGAUUUCUAUGGUAAUUGGUCUCCUUCAGCAGCACCAGCAAAACAAUUUCAGAAUCAAUUGGCACCUUCUGUCAUACAAUCUUCUCCCUCUUCAAUUCUUGGGCAACCAAAGCAGAUCCAAGGAGCUGAAACCCUAUAUCAGAAUAUCAUAAAUCCAUAUGUGACUUCUUCUGUGUAUGGGAACCUUACUAAUACAUAUCCUGCUAUGCCAAUGCUAUCGCAGACUCAGCCAGCACUUUCUGGCUACGAAGUGUCUCCUGGUAUAGUAAAUCGUGUGAACAAUUCUGUGGACUCAGUCAAGCCCCAAAUCAUGACUCCUCAGGAGAAAAUUGAAAAAUUGAGGAGGCGGCAGCAAAUGCAGGCAAUGAUUGCUAUUCAGAAACAACGCCAACAAUUGGGCCAUCAAGUUCCUAGUAAAUCAAGCACUCAAAAAUGUCCUCCAGAAAUUCAAAGUCACCUUAGUGAUGGGACUGAUGAAGAUCUAAGAACUUUUCCUGCGCUAGAUCCACCAAUUGAACAAGAUGAUUCUAAUACAAUGUCAGUGGCAGUUGGUAAUGAUUUCGUUGAAGACACCGUACUGUACGGGCUUCAGCAUAUUAUAUCAAAGUUAGACAUCAAAAUAAGACUCUGCAUCAGAGAUAGUUUGUUCCGGUUGGCACAAAGUGCAACACAAAGGCAUUAUGCUAGUGAUACUAGCAGUACAAACAAAAGUAGCAGAGAAGAACUUGAAGUUGCUGCAAGAGAAGAAAGCAAUAGCCAAAACAGAUAUGCCAGGAUGCCUGAUGUUGAAACAGAGACGAAUCCCAUUGAUAGAACUGUGGCUCAUUUACUUUUUCAUAGGCCUAUGGAGUUGACCCAAAACUAUUCUGACAAGUUGGAGUUGCCUAUUUCUACCAAGGUGCAAUGUGAAAGCAAAGCAGCUAACCCAGUGAACUUUCCCAUGAGUUGCUCACAAGAUGAGGACGCGAAAAACAAUCAACAACUUUCUCACCUUGGGUUUAAGAAUCCUUGGGUUGAUGCCCAGUCUAUGGAUCAAAUUAAAAACAAUCCUUGCAUAGACAUGUCAGAGAAUGCAUCCAACACACAUGAACUUGAAGCCUCUCAAUGAAGAAAGAGGUUGUCCCGAAAUCUGAGGGUAAAUCCUUCCUUAAUACAUCUAUGCUUAUUGGUUGAAGUCAAGUCGAUGCUUAUUUUUUGCCAUGCUUUUGAAGGCAAAGUAUAUUGUUAGUGGCAUUCUGAUAAUGCAGUAAAUACGUGCUCUAAGAUUAACUUUCUAAUUUGAGUAAAAAUACUAUGGUCCUUGCCCACAGCUUGAGUGCUUUGAUAGGCAAUGAACUAAGAAAUCAUUGCUUUAACUCAAGAGUCCCAGAUUUUGGAGGAAGUUGAAGCCGCUUUUUCUGUUGCCUGAUGUUGAAGACUGUAUUAUUCUGGUUCUUGACAUGAAAGAAAUAGUUUUUGGGAGAUAACAGCGAUGAGGACACAUGGUUAGGAUAGCGAAACGAAGCAAAUUAACAUAGCAGUAAAAUGAACUCCUUGUGGUUUUCAAUGUGACUGUGAGCAGUCAAUGUUUCAACGCAAUGAGUGAUGGUGGCAAAUGGAUUAAGCAAUAAAAUAGUAGCCAUUAAUUUUAUGAAAUAUGCAAAAAGAUGUUAGUUUUGCA